GUGGGGAAUCUUGCGCAAUGGGCGAAAGCCUGACGCAGCCAUGCCGCGUGAAUGAUGAAGGUCUUAGGAUUGUAAAAUUCUUUCACCGGGGACGAUAAUGACGGUACCCGGAGAAGAAGCCCCGGCUAACUUCGUGCCAGCAGCCGCGGUAAUACGAAGGGGGCUAGCGUUGCUCGGAAUUACUGGGCGUAAAGGGCGCGUAGGCGGACAGUUUAGUCAGAGGUGAAAGCCCAGGGCUCAACCUUGGAAUUGCCUUUGAUACUGGCUGUCUUGAGUACGGGAGAGGUGAGUGGAACUACGAGUGUAGAGGUGAAAUUCGUAGAUAUUCGGAAGAACACCAGUGGCGAAGGCGACUCACUGGCCCGUUACUGACGCUGAGGCGCGAAAGCGUGGGGAGCAAACAGGAUUAGAAACCCUGGUAGUCC
rnacentral:rRNA from 1 species